UACAGAGGUGCCGAGCGUUAGGCGGAAUCACUGGGCUUAAAGCGUGUGUAGGCGGACGUCUAAGUACCUUGUGAAAUCCCACGGCUCACCCGUGGAACUGCUGGGUAUACUGGGCGUCUUGAGCCACCUAGGGGCCAGCGGAACAGACGGUGGAGCGGUGAAAUGCGUAGAUAUCGUCUGGAACGCCGAAGGUGAAAACAGCUCGCUGGGACUGCGCUGACGCUGAGACACGAAAGCCAGGGGAGCGAACGGG
rnacentral:rRNA from 1 species